CACACCGCCCGUCACAUCAUGAAAGCCGGUUGUACCCGAAGUCCACUCUGUUAACCCGCAAGGGGGGACAGUGGCCGAAGGUAUGGCUGGUGAUUGGGAUG
rnacentral:rRNA from 1 species